CGUAUGUAAUUUGUAUAUAUUGUAGGUGAGAUAUUUUCUCACCUACCGGACUUCAUUCUCACAUUAUUUUCUCUGUAAUAACAUCUCUCUCCAUUCCAGAGAGUUCCAGACGCUCCUCCUUCUCUCUACUUUCUCUCUCUACAGUUUCUAUGAUUUCUCGGUCUAUUGUCAAUGUUUACAUGGUAACAGAGCCUAGACGACGAUCCGACUAUGUUUCUCUACAUCUCGUUGUCUUGGUUGAACUCCUUUUUGAGAUUUUUUGGGGAUUUUUCUGAGACCUUAUGGUCGAUGAUGCUUCUGACCUAGAUCGGAUGUUUUUCCGAAUUUUUCAUCAUGAUAUCUGAGUGUAUUUUCUUCACUCGCACAUUCUGAGAGAUUUUCUGCUGAUUUUUGGGUGGCUUCUCGGUGACCUAUCGGCUUUUAGGAUUUCUGGUAAUGUUUUUCCAAGUUUUUCAUCAUGAUAUCAGAGUGUAUUUUCUUCACCCGCACAUUCUGAUAGGUUUUCUACUGAUUUUUGGGUGGCUUCUUGGUGACCUAUCGACUUCUAGGGUUUCUGGUGGUUUAACCUAGAGUUCUACUGCUAUCCGGUGGCUCGAUUCUCACUCGGACGUAAAAUGAUUGUUGCUUUAUCAGCUAAAAAUAAAAUUGGUUUUGUUGAUGGCACGUACUCCCGACCUGCCAUUAAUGUGGCUCAACAAAGGUUGUCGGAUAGGUGCAACAACAUGGUGAUUUCUUGGUUAACUACUUCCCUCUCCCCUGCAAUUGCUGAAUCUGUGCAGUACUCUGAUACUGCACAGAGCAUAUGGUCCCAACUCCAGGCCAGAUAUGGCACUGCAAACAGGACCAAAAUCUCUGAACUGAAAAGAGAGUUGCCCCACACCUCUCAAGGGUCCUUAGAUAUAGCUUCGUAUUUUAAUAAGCUAAAAGGUCUGUGGGAUAACUUGAUUCAAUGUGUGUUAAUCAUGGUCAAAGAUGUGUUUGUGCUGCAAAAGAUGGUAUAGUACAGGAAAGUGAUGACAAUAAGGUCUUUCAGUUUUUAAUGGGUCUAAACGAAGCAUAUAUGGGGGUCAGGAGUAAUCUUUUGAUGAUGCAGCCUCAUCCUUCUCUUGACAAUGUCUAUAAUGUGGUCCUCAAUGAUGAGAAACAAAGACAAGUCCAGUCUUCUUCUCACUUUAAUCCAGACUCUGNNNN
rnacentral:lncRNA from 1 species